GACCCCGGCACCUCCAUGCAUCAUGGAACACUGUGAACAGCUCUCCCUUGGGUUUUAUUUUAAAUUACUUUAGGCAAGCAAAAUCUGACUCCAGGUUACACCUUUCACUGCUUUUUUUUCAGGUUGAUGGAGUACAUGCUUUUGUACAUAGUGAGUGAGGAGAAAAAUAAUAAUCAAACAGAGAGACAAAAUGCUCAAGGAAGUGUCUCAUUUGUGGAAUUCAAUGUUUCCCUUGACUCAGUGCUUUUGCAGACCUCAGGCAUCCAACGGACUGGGAGUCAUCUUCAAAAGUGGUGUUGUUACUUAGAAGCUUAACACCUUUGAAACAAGGAGAGAAGACCCAUAUUCAGACAUCAACUAGCUAUGCAUUCACCCUAGGAUGAAUAUAUAUUGAACUGCAAAAAAAAUUAUGCAAGAGCUGGCAAAGAGAUAAGACUGCAUAAAAAGCCAAUAUGAUUUUGGCUGUUCCCUCUGAGGAGUCAUAUCCUAAACCAAGAAGAUUAUAGUUCCUCUGUAGUUCAGAUGUGAUGGUAGUUAGAAUAUUAUAGUAGCUGCAGCUCAGUCCAUAGAAAGUCAGAGAUUAACUAGGAAGAAUUUAAAAACAGGUAUCAGUAAUUAUCAAAAACUGGAGGCUGGUUUAUAAAGAUGAAAGAACUAACAAUGUUUAAGUUGGCUGAAUGUCAGGUAAGAUGCAUGUCACUAGUUUGCUAAUAUUUCAAGAGUCUGAACAUCAAAGCAGUCAAGGAAAUAUUUAGUUGAAUAAUAGUAUUCUUGGAAGAAACUGGGGUGGAAUUGAGGAAAAUAAAAACCAUACUAGAUAUAAGGGGAGGAAUCCUACUGCUGAGUCUAUUACAUUAAAGAAUAAUCACAGUUUCUGAGGAAGAAUAUUAUACACUUGUAAAGUCCCAAUUGACAUUGGACAAUGCAUGGGAAAUGUACAUUAGGCAGAAGUUUUAGUACUGUGUUGCAACUGAGAAAUAUAUGAAUCCUUCUAUUUCUUUUACUGGGAGGAAGUGAGAAAAAUCUGGUGACUGUUUUAGGGUGCUUUUCUAAAUGAAAUUAAAGACAACAAGGAUUUAAAAAUCAUUCUGUGGCAGUGCAUGAGGAAUUGGUAAUAUGUCA